rnacentral:lncRNA from 10 species
CCGUCUCAAAAAAAAAAAAAAAAAGUAAAUAUUCCAUCUUCUUUGACCUAUUUACUUGGAACAAUGCUAUGUGCCAAUUCAUGGAAUUCAUAUAUCACCUCUCCAUAAAAGCAUAGAGUACUGUGUUAUUAAUAAGCAUAUAGCAUUGAUGCACAUAUACCCUGAAGCUUCUAACAGGCACAAAAAAGGGCUAGGAGGAACAUUUUGCAUUGAUUAUCAAGACAUCAGUACUGACACUUCAUUUUCAACAAAAGUGUACUGCCCCGUGUAUAAGUCAUGCCUACCAUAUUUCCUGACAUCUGGGAGUUGACUUAAUAGAUGCUAAUGUGAUGUUAUUACCAAGGUGUCAAGCUACACCCUCUCCUGAUUGGUUCUCCUAGUUCUGCCUUAGGUUUGCUGACACUUUGCUAUGAAAAUUGGAUUCAGACAUUGCAGGCAUGCAAAGUGCUGGCUAGAAAAGCACUGAUUUAACUGGGCAAAACUGUGCCCAGUAAUUAUAAACUUACCAUCUAUUCCUGUAGAGCCUUCUCCUAAUCCUUCAAGUUUGAGUCCUUCAUAUAGACACAGCUACAAGGGCAGAACAAUUAGAGAAGUCAGACUCCAAGCCUGAAUGAAGAGUGUUUUCUCAUUUUGCCAGUUCUGUGAGAAAAGCUCUGCUGUGUAAGAAAAGCUCUGCUGUGUGCUGGCUGCCCAAGGGCAAGCUGCCUCUUGGGGAACAAGAAUUUCUGAGGGAACAACAAACAUUCUGUCUCAAAUUUGGAACUAAAAAAGAACUUUAUUUAUUGAGGGCAAGGGGAUGCAAACAAUACAAAAAUCAAAAGCUUAUCUGGUAUUUAACUUUUCUUUCUCUGCUUGUCAAAUGAGAGUUAGAUUUUAUUUUUACAUUUGCUAAGUGUCCUGAUCUGCUCAUGAAAUCCUUCUAUGGGGGAAGCUGUGGGGCAGAUUCCUUAAGCGACCCUUUGGGACAACUCUUAUCAGGGAGGAGCGAACUGCUCAUUUCUGCCUACUUCUUUCCCUUCUGCUUCAUGUGUACUACAAAAUAGUCAUUGCAUGCAAUGGUGAGGCCCGCAAUUAGGGAAAAGAAGCUCUGGAAGCCCACUUUGCCAUCUCUACACUGGUCCAGGUCCUUCAUUAUUUUGUCCACAGCCAGAGGGUCUUUUUGAUUCUGAAAAAAAAAAGAACAAAGGCAAGAAAUAGAAGUCAAAGGUUGCAAUGAGGAGCUUAUUUGAUUUGUACUGCUGAGAACUGUGUAUAUAUCUCCCAAUUACUUGAGCUCUUGUUUUAGGUCAUAAGCAACCUUUGGAGUUCAUCUAAAUGUAUUUUUUUUUUUUUUUGCCUUGUGGGAGCAUUUCAGUAAUUUCAUAUUUAGAUUCUGCCUAAGAACCACCCUAAGCUCCUCAUUUUAUGGUUUAAACUUACAUUCUCUUAUUAAAAUUUUAUUCCUAAUGGCAUGGUCAAAUCCCUUACAAAGGAAACUCCUUAUGAAAAGAUAUUUAUGAUUUAGGGAAUAAGUUUUGGAUCACUGUCCUAUGGAUUUUAAAGAGGUGUUAAUGAUGCCAUGGGUUGGUUUUAGGUUUGGAGAAGGCAGCUCUCAUUCUUGGCACAGCUGAGGACAAGCUAGUGUGGCUUCAUAUCAUAUUAGCCACGUGAUGCUGAGUGAACCACACAGCUUAGUGGGCCUUUGUGUAUCAACGAUGAAUUGAGGAGGUUGGACUAUAAUGUUUCUAGAAUCCUUUCAUUCUUUGAGUUGGUAAGUCUAUGCCAUCCUAUACUCUUCACUGGAUGUUGUACACUGGACCAGUUUCAAAAGGAGUAUGUGGGAUGGAGUCUUAAACUCCCCAUGACUCUCAGUGCCUGGUAAGAAUGUAUGGAACAGAGAUGGGCAGGCAAGACCCCCUUUGCUUUUAUCUUGCUUACAUGGUGAUUGGCUUCAGCACUCCUUUUUGUAGUGAUGCUGGUCAGAAGCGGUAAGGUGUGGUUUUUCCUGUAGGGUCCAUGCCAUCAACCAGAGAGAGAAAUAUGGCCUAUUUGAGGUUGUUAAAGGGCUCAGGUAAACUAUUUAUGAAUUCUGAUGACUAUAUUCAUGAGUGAGGAAAAUGAUACGCAGUGUUUCAAGUGUGCUAGAUGUUUCUAAAUUGCACUCAGAAAUUCCUAAAAGUAUAGCAGCAGCAUUUCCCACAUGAGCACUGCAAACUCCUACUCUAGCUAAACGUGCUCUAUGCAGCUCUUGGUGGGUUUCAGCUAAUUCUGGCUUCACCCUCAGCUUCCUGGCUGUGGUCAGAAUGAGUGAAAUCUGGAUGACAUAAGAGGUCUACUUUAGAAACAAAAUGCUCUGUUAAUGCAGUGAGUCUAGAUGUUUCCAGAAUUAUGACUCUGUGCCUGGAAUAAAUUACCCUGCCAUGGUUAGUGCUCCACACUACAUAUACCCUUUAUGUGUCUGAUGCCACAAAGCCUUUAGGAAGAAAGGGUCUGUGUCUUACAUGAUACUCACUCUGGCUCUUAACAACACUCUUAACAAGUGUUUAGUGUACUGAGAAUGCCUUUGUCUAUAGGACAGGCAGGCUUACAAUGAGCACAUUUUGUCCUUGCAUCUUAAUGCUUGUCUUGAAUGAUCAUAGAAAGUGAAAGUGACCUUGCAGAUAAUUAUGUCCAGCCCUCUCUAAUUUUACAGGGGAGGAAACUGAAGACUAGAGAGCUGAAGCAACCUGCCCAUUGUUAGUUAAGGCAGAGCCAGAUCUUCUAACUCCUGGUCUGGGGCUAUAUCACAGGACUCUACAAAAGCAGAGGACCUGCAUAUUCUAACUCAUUCUGGGAUAGCAUUAGGUAAUAACUGCAGCUCUGAGAGAGCAGUUAGGCUAUUUAUAUCUGUUUAUUUAACUGAUAUUGAUGACAUACGAAUUAUAGUAUACUAAAAAGCCUCAUGUUUAUUGAUUGCAGGAGUCAGGGGCUGGACUAAUGUGCCGUUUACCAGUCAGAUGACAAGAGGCAGGACCCAACGUUUUACCGUAUCUCCUCUCACCCUUUACAGGUUAAUGCAUUAUUCAACACCAAGCACAGAAACAAUCUUUUCAGGUGACUACAAUUGUGGUAGGGAAAGAAGGGCUUGCAUUUCAGUCUACUAUUUUGUCAUGCAAUGUUGCACCUUCAGUUGAAUUCAACAGCCACCUCUCGAGAACCUGGAAUAUAAAAGGACAACUGUGCCUUGUGGCCCCAUGUCCUGAGUGAUGUAUCUGAGCUGAUGGCAGAGUCCUCUUAUAGGUCUUCAUGCAUCUCUCAGUCUGUCAAAGGUGAGACAUAAAUUCAAACUGCUCCUGUGCUGUCAGAGCAUUAUUAUGUGAAAAGCAGUUAUUUCUGGAGUGAUAUGUGGCUUUUAUUCAGUAGAUGACUGACACUGCUCCUUUGUAGUAUUAGAAAAAGAAAAAACAAUCCCUUUAUCUGAAGAGAUUUAAGAAGGGAGAUUCGAGUUGCUCAAAAUGGAAUGUGACCAGGAUGUGGCAUCUCCACCACCAGGUUUUUGGACCUGAAGGUAGCCAUUUUCUGGUUGACUACUCUUUUGUGAAAAGCUUUCUUUCUCCCAACUCUGUCCCCAACAUCGUCACAACAGACACAGAUAACCCGAUGGAAUUUUCCAACAAACAGCUCAUAUUGUGGUUAUUUGUAUGCAGUCUUAUUUCACCUGCAGACUGUAAGCUCCUUGAAGGUUGGGGCUGUGUCUUCAUUACUUUGUUUCCUCAACAGUAUCUUACAAAUAGCAGGUACUCAAUACUAUUUAAUAAAUGAAUGAAUGAGGUCAUUCAUUCAUUCCUUCAGGUGACUACAUUCAUUUAUUCACUAGUGGUGACCUCCACAGGGAAGGGAUGGAAACAAGAAGGAAAAGGAACCAAGGCCUAGAAGCAUUGACUUUUAUGUCUGGUUCUUUGUAAGCUUUUCAACACUUACUUCCAAAAAUCCAGGGAACUCCUUUUCCAUGAGUACUCUCAGGUCCUCCUUUGUUAAGUAGCCUUUAUCCCCAGCGAAUUUGUGAAAUGUAAACAUCAUGGUUUCCAUGGCGUGUUCCAUUUGAGAUGGCAUUUUGGUGUGGUCCGUUGAAGCCUAUUAAAGGAUGUAAAGUAACAGGGUCUACAUUAACUUUUUUUGGCAGACUUUAUGCAUGAAUUUAUUUUUUUUAAAUUGAAAGAUAAAAUUGUAUGUAUUUAAUGUGUACAACAUGAUGUUUUCAGGUAUAUAUACAUUGUGGGAUGACUGAAUCUAGCUAAUUAACAUAUGCAUUACCUCCCAUAGUUAGCACUUCUGUGGUGAGAACACUUAGCCACUCUUAACUAUUUGUCAAGAAUACAAUACAUUGUAAUUAACUAUAGUCACGUUGUUGUACAGUAGAUCUCUUAAACUUAUUCCUCCUAACUGAAAUUUUCAAUCUUUUGACCAAUAGCUCCUCAACAUCACUCAAAUGCAAUCACCCCAGCCCAUUCUAUUCUUUAGUUCUAUGAAAUUCAGUGUUUAAGAUUCCACAUGAGUGAGAUCAUCUGGUAAUUGUCUUUCUGUGCUUGGCUUAUUUCACUAAGCGUAACGUCCUCCAGGUUCAUCUUUGUAGAUUUACAUUAACUUUUAAGCCAUAUGUAUUGCCAGCCUUUUUAGGAUAAUUGGAAAGAUGGAGAUUAGAUCAUCCAUCUGAUCUUCUCCAGCUUUAAAAUUCAGUGAAUGAAUCUAAGAACCAGUCCACCCCAGUUUGGGUCCCUUGUUGGUAGAAAUAGACACCUCAGAUACUGGUGCUGUAAAUAAAGGGGUUUAGCUAACUCCAGCUAAUUUGCAUGAAUAAUCUAAUGAAGAAUAGAAACUAAUAAUUUAGAAAAGCAACAUCAGUGUUCCUCUUUUUUUUUUUUUUUUUUUUUUUUUUGAGACGGAGCUUUGCUCUUGUUGCCCAGGCUGGAGUGCAGUGUUGUGAUCUUGGCUCACUGCAACCUCCGCCUCCCAGGUAGCUGGGAUUACAGGCGUCCGCCACCAUGUCCGGCUAAUUUUUUGUAUUUUUAGUAGAGGCGGAGUUUUGCCAUGUUGAGCAGGCUGGUCUCAAACUCCUGACUUCAGGUGAUCCGCCCACCUCGGCCUCCCAAAGUGCUGGGAUUACAGGCCACUGCGCCCGGCCCAGUGUUCCUCUUUUUAACUGACAAAGCACCUACUGAAAGAACAGAUAGUUCAUAAUUUCUCUUGGCACUAGUAAAUGGGAUUCUUAGAUAUGGCUGAUACUAACAAUCCACACAGUCAAGUCUGGUAAAUACGAAAACUUCACCCUUCUAAGCUUAAAGUGGUAACUUGGUUCAGUGUGAUUCUAGGGUUUAGAAAUCUGCUUACAAAUGAAUUUAUCUGCUGGGUAUAUAUGUAUUCUUUUUUUUUUUUUUUUUUUGAGACGGAGUCUUGCUCUGUUGCCCAGGCUGGAGUGCAGUGGCGCCAUCUCGGCUCGCUGCAAGCUCCGCUUCCUGGAUUCACGGCAUUCUCCUGCCUCAGCCUCCCGAGUAGCUGGGACUACAGGUGCCCGCCACCGCGCCCGACUAAUUUUUUUGUAUUUUUAGUAGAGAUGGGGUUUCACCGUGGUCUCGAUCUCCUGACCUCGUGAUCCGCCCACCUCGGCCUCCCAAAGUGCUGGGAUUACAGGCGUGAGCCACUAUGCCCGGCCUAUAUGUAUUCUUUACUAAAGCUCUGAACUUGUUAUUUACUGCAAUAAAGACAGUUGCAUCUCUGGCAGUAAAAUACAGUUGCUCUACCCAAACAGAAAACUACUCAAAGUCCAUUGUCUAGUUCACUUGAGAAGCAACAAGUAAUACUAUAACCUAACUCAUUUGAGGGCCUCCUAUGUUUUUAGUGACAUUAGACAGAUGAGCUGCUCUCACAGUCUGGGGUACAGUGGGAAAGCAAGAGCUUUCAUCAUGAAGCGUUUAUAAGAAAGGAAAGGAAACAUGUCAGAUCAUUACAUUUGGGUAUAAUGAACUAGGGGUAUAUGUCUCACAAGACCCAGUACGUGGUACUUAAUAGAACCUCAGUGAAUUUUGGCUUAAUUGGAAGGAAUCAUUUGGCGAGAACAGAUAAGCUUUGGCUAAUAUCACCUAAAAUCACUACUGGAUAGGAAACAGGUGAACGUGAAUGGAGACUGUAAUAUAGCACUAAAAAAUAAAAAUAAAUAAUCACAAGAAUAGGCUUUGAGCUUAGAUUGAAGGGCUGGCAAAUUCCUCUGCUGAAGAGCUCUAAUGGGAACCUGAGACAUGCUUUGGUCUGGUUCCUAUCUCUGAGAGAUGCCUGUUCAACACUGAUUCUCAAAUGCUAUCUUUUACAGAGGAGAAGGUGGAGUGGGUAAACAUGAGGAUUGAGCAAUUAACACUUAAGAAUUGUAAAUUCUACCCCUUAAUCUCCAGAAAAGUAUGGGAACCAGCAGGCCAAAGAAUGCUAUAAAUCAGAAUCUGGCAUGAGUCAUCUGAAAGGCAGUUAGUUAUCUUGGAGAGAGCUGCAAAUUAAUGCUUCAAGGUCUGCUGUGAGAUGAAUUCCAGGGGAACCACACCCUUUUCCUUCUCUUCUGACACAGCUCAGAUCUGGCUCAUCCCCCAUCCCUCAUAUGGGUUUCAGAUGGCAGUGGGCUUACAGAGAGUCUGCCUUGCCUGGACUGGUACUCCAAGUCCAGCAAUUUAAGAGAACUGAACUGGGCGAGUCACCUCUGGGAGAAGGACGUGGGAUCCCACCCCAGUUCUUAAAUAACUCAGGAAAGGAGUCAGACACCACAGAGGUUUAAAAAUACCUGUGCUCAAGUUCAGAGCAGCAGAGCACUUCAGGAUCAAUUCCCAAAGAUCCCAGAAAUUGGAACUGGGUGGGGUACCUAGUUUACUUUUUUCAGAUGACAGGACAGAAGGAAAGUGCAGAAUUAAGAAAGGGAAUGCAGCAGGGUAAGGACCUCUAAAUUUUAAAAAGGCUAAUUUUAGGAGGUUCUAAGAAAUACAAGUUGUCAGCUGAGGAAAUCCUGGCCACCCUUGAGUAUCUUCUUCAGGAGAGCAAGGUGAGUCUACCUCACACUGUGUGAGUGCUUAGGUCUGAAGUCACUCAGUCGCAUGCCUCUCUUGCCCACAGCCAUUACGAAGUGACGGAGCUUCCUUCUCUGAAGUUACAUCCUUCUCCCACUUGGUCUUCCCCUCCCCUCCUCCCCCAGCGGUUUUAUUCAGUGGAUGGAUUGUGAAUAUUGCAGCCAGCUGACUCCCUGUGUGUCCAGUAGGCCUUCUGCAAUAAGGAUGCAGAGGAGGGAGUAGCCAGGAGGUGAAAAUAGCAUUGAAAAUCAGUGGAGAAGCCCUUGUCUCCUCAGCAACCAGUACCCCAAAGGGCACUGACCAGGGCCACAGCAAGGAACUCUGUUUUGGGGAAGGAGUUGCACACUGGCUUUAAAAUAAGACAAAGGAAAGGGGGAAAUGUUGUGAUUAAAACUCUGUUCUCUUGGCUAGAGGAUGAAUCAUGUAACUCUUGUCUGAGUGCAGCCAAUGGUUGCCCAACUGAGUCAGCCCUGCCUGGCCCUCCGUUCUUGGGUGGGGCUUGCCUGGGCAGGGCUGUCUGCAGCACUGCUAGCUGCCAAAACUGAAGUUCUUCAGGGACUUCAAUCUGGCAUUUCCACCCUCACGUAGCCACUCUGCAAGCUCUAUUCCUGGACAGAUGUGGGCUUCCUGCAUCCUGGUUAGACACAUUUUGACAGGAGGGCCUUGGGGCUGGGGCUGAGGGGCUGCAGUGUCCUCUCUAUCCCCAAUAACGUACUCUUGCACCUGAAACAUUCAAUUUCAUUUAAUUGUUUACUUGUCUGCCUGAGAUUUAAGCUUCUCUUGAUUAAGAACUACAAAUUAUUCUGCUUUUAUUCAUGGAGCACUAUAUAACUGUUAUGUGCAUAAAUGAACCACACAAUCCCUUGGGCAGUAGCUGAGGUGCAGGUGUGAUUACCCAGGACUAGGCUGAAAGCCUUGUAGCUCAGAGCUCAGGAGGACGAUGUGAGAGCUGGGAAGGGCCAGGAAAGGGGCCCCAAAAGUGUUCAACUAUGAACGGAACAGUAGAUAGAGUACACAGGAGUGCACAUUCCAUACGCAAAAGGAAAAAUAUGUGUCCUGCUAAACAGGUCUAGUCAGAAUGACAUGACUGUGCUCCUUCUCUUCUAACACUUGCUAUUUUCUCGUGUUUCAUUCAUCCCAUCUUCUACUUUUUGCUUUUCUAGUGCUGCUAUCUCACUGCUGAGCUCCACAGGAUAAUAACAGCCUUGCUGUCCACUCACCUUUUAUUGAAGUAUUCUAAUCUGAUGCCUAUACAUGCCCUCUACAUGUUUGUCUGAGCAACAGGUCUUAAGAAGGGAGGCGGAGACAUCUUUCUCUGCAUAGUUUUCUCUAUGGAAAACAAUUCUGGACUCCACAAAUUUAGUUACCUUAGGAGGAAUUCAAUUUUCCAUUUUUGGUUCUCCCUCCCUGAGCACCUACUUUGAAUGUCCCAGACAUGGUGUUAGGCAUGAGGGUGUUCACACACACAUACACACAUGCACACACACACAAAGCUCUCCAUGGUGCUUGCCUUUGAGGAGUUCACCAGCUAAUGGAAUACUAUUAAAGCAUUUGGCCUGAAUUCUAGUUAUUUGUGUUUCUGUUUCUUUCCUCACUAGGUUGCAGGUUUUUUGAGCAGGGUCCCAAUAGCCAGUGCCCCAGCCCUCAUAGAGCCUGCUCGAUGAAUUGUUAAGAAAUUGAUAAUGAUGUAUUUUGGUUGUCCUGCGAGUAGCAGACAAGCAGGAGUCCUCCUCAGAAAAGUGUCUGCUCCUGAAAAAUCUCAAAUGUUUGCUUUGGACCUAUGCCCAGAUCCCGGCUGCAGUUUCAAAGAGGACACUUCUGCAGAGUGAGUCGGACUUGCUUUGCUCCUCUGUGUCUUGUCCAUACCCUAGUUUUCUUACAGCCCACCCAGAAAAUAAACGGCAGGGUGUCAGUAAAAACAAACAUCUGUUAUUUAAAAUAUGUUUGAGGUUUCCUUCCUUUUGCUUUAGAAAUUUUGGAGUUUUUAAAAUUGAACCCAGAAGGCAUUCUUAAAUUUGAUCUCUGAAGGGAAUUCAGAAAAAAUGAGUUGAAGCAAUGGAUCUGGAUCCAGGCUGUCUCUCUCACCUCUCACCAACUAAAACUUGCCCACUAAAGAACUGGGCAGCAAAGGAACGUUUCAGAUGCAAUUCAAUAGGAAGAAAGAACUUGGAAGAAACCUCCUUCAAUCUAACCAACUACAUCAAUUUUUCCUUAAAGAAUGCUUAGGCAUCAGCCUAAUCAGCCAACAUAGCUACUGUCAAAACUGCUUUUAGUUAAAUCCUUUGGUAGGAUGGGUGGUAUUUAUUUAGUAAAGGGAUAGAAAGUGCUGAAAAUUGUUUAAAAGAAGUACAUUCUUUCUUUUUGCUUUUGAUGUGGAUUCCUAAAUUUGUUGAGUCCCCAGAAAAAUGAGAAACUUAAGAUGUUAAAAUUUUAGUCCAGCUUUCUCAGCACUUUGAGUGCUAAUUUAUACAUUAUAAUCCUGAAAGAAUUCCAUUGUUUCUCUCAACUUUACGCUUUAAAAGACUGGACUGUGUCCAAGGGUAUACCAAGUGGGUUGUGCUCUACAAAAGUCACAUUUUUUGAACUGUCAGUAGAAAGCAGGGAGGCACACAGUCUCAGCUCCACCCUGACCUCACUGGAGUGGCUGCUUAGGAGGCUGGCCAGCACACGGGAGGAAAGGGGCCUAUAUGAUGUGUCGGAGAAAAGCUAGGAAGAGCAUCACCCAGAAAGCAGGGUAAGACCCAAAAAUUGCUUCAUGCCCAGUAGACCAAAAAAAUUGUAAGAACCUAGAUAAGAAACUCCAAAUGGUGGAUCAAGGGCCACAGUGAAGAAACUAUCCUCUGGCUGUGAAGGAACAAAUACACCAUUUGGAAGGGAUGAUUAAAGAGAAACUGGAUAGGAAUCUGUGGGGGCAGGGCCGAUGAAGAAACUUCCAAUAAGUUAUAUGAACUCAUUCCCACUCCAACCCCUGGCAUUAUCUUUUGCAAUUUGCUGAAACAUGUUGGAGGCAAAGAUCACCGACUGGGUGUUUCCAUGAGCCUGGCCUCACCUAAAACGCACAACAUAAAACUCCAUUCCUGGAGACUGAAACUCAAGCUUCUGGGGAAAAAUAUCCGCAACAACUGCAAACCUCUUAGCGGGAAAAGCUACCUCCCAAGUAAGGCUGAGGCAGGCUGCCAGGCGCAUACUGGCCGAUAACGAAAAGCGGUCUCGCCAAGGCCCUGCAGAUCUAAUUACUGCCCUCACCGGCAGUUCAGUCGAGAAACCUCUCCUGCAGACUGGCAGCCAGACCAGGUGUGACUCACUUCCUCUUGGAAAAUGCCCUCUGAGAUGGCACAGUUCUCCUUUUCCUUCAGGGAGUGUUCUGUCCAAACCAUCCACCGAGAGUAUCUGCAACCGGCCACACCCACAUGGUCUCACAGCUGAGUCACAGGCCUCAGACCACUGGGAGAAUCCUGGAGCCCUUUGUGCUAACCACGCCCUGCAGAAGCUCCCGCAGAGACGGAACUGGGUGGGGGCAGAAAACGGGGUGGGCUUAAUGCAUCCCAGAAUCUGGCUUAGGGCUCCCCUGUGCUGGCCUGGCUUGGAGCGCUCUGCAUUCCACCCCAGCCAACAAGGCAGAGCUCCUGGUUUCACUUAGGCAGAGCUGGACUGAGGCUGGACAGGCAGCAGUGUCCACGGCUAGGGGCAGCGCCAUUCCUUCGGCCAAAGCACAGGUGGUGAACCAAGUACCAAAGGCACGUCUGUCUGUUUCACUGCACCGGGCCAAAUUAAUCUAUGAUUGGAAGAUCCUUCAUCAAGCCUGCUCUUCCUCCAUCUCUUUCUGGUUCCACUUAUUAAGACAGCAAGGGAACCCUUUCAGUAGAGAAACCACGUCACACAGGGCCCUCUCCCACAAACCCCAGCCAAACUGCUGUAGAAAGAAAACAAGUGGACCUCCCUCCCUCAGCAGGAAGACCCUUUCCGUCGAGCAGACAACAGGAAGCCCCGACCAGAAACGCCUGUUUGGCCGACGGACUAAGGGUUACGGAAGGGACGCCCCAGCUGCCUACUCGUCCUACCCGCGCCUACUUGGGCGGUACAGCCGGGAGCAGGCUACGAACAUGCAGACCCGGCCUGCGAGCGGAACCCACCAAGAAACACGCCAGCCAGGGCAGGGGCGUGUAGGAGGGAUUCGGUAACCCGAGAGACGAGUGGGAAAGUAGGAAAGGUGGGAGUAAAGCAACGCAAACAUAAAGGGAGGAGGGAAGAGGUUCAGGCGCACCAAUACCACGGUCCCCUCCUAAAGAACAAGUGCCCCCUCCUCUGGUCCGCGUGGGUCUGGGGGCGGCCGCGCCCGGGCCGGGGAGGGGCGCUGCUGGCCUCGUUUGGGUGUGGCCCGGAGCACUGAGCAGCGGAUUCCCCACCAGCCGCUCCCCGCCCAGCCCCGCGGUGCUCCGGACGCCCCGCGAAGCCGGGUGCAGGGUUUUCCCCGGGCAGCAGGUCCGGGCCUGGGGACUACCCAGGAGGGGCGCGUGGGCCGGGCGGAGCUCACCUUGGCCGAGGCGCGGCGGACGCUGGGCGAGCUGGGCGAGCUGGACGCGGGGCGGAGAGGCGAGCGCGGCGGGCUGUGCGCCUUCCUUAGUACGUGCGGCGGGUGGGUAGAGGGAGGCCUCGCCCGCCCCAGACAGAGCGUUCUUGUAAACUUCUCUUCAGUAGAAACGGUCC